rnacentral:rRNA from 1 species
UGAGGAACAUGACCUUCGGCGGGGGAUAGCCGGCCCAACGGCCGGGUAAUACCGCGUACGACCACAUGGGGACAUCCCUGAGUGGUGAAAGCAGCAAUGCGCCGAUGGAGUGCCUCGCGGCCUAUCAGCUAGUUGGUGAGGUAACGGCUCACCAAGGCGUCGACGGGUAGCCGGCCUGAGAGGGUGACCCGGCCACACUGGGACUGAGACACGGCCCAGACUCCGUACGGGAGG